UACGAAGGGUGCAAGCGUUACUCGGAAUUACUGGGCGUAAAGCGUGCGUAGGCGGUUUGUUAAGUCUGUCGUGAAAGCCCUGGGCUCAACCUGGGAAUUGCGAUGGAUACUGGCAAGCUAGAGUACGGUAGAGGAUGGUGGAAUUCCCGGUGUAGCGGUGGAAUGCGUAGAGAUCCGGAAGAACACCAGUGGCGAAGGCGGAUCUCUGGGCCAUAACUGACGCUGAGGAGCGAAAGCAUGGGGAGCGAACAGG
rnacentral:rRNA from 1 species